rnacentral:lncRNA from 1 species
UUUUGAGUCUUCUGGAGGGAGAUCUGACCGAACAAGAGCCAUGGAACGAUGAUGGCUGAUUAGACUCUGGCGCGAGAGUUCACGUUGGUGAAGUCCGGCGGGCUUAGAUCAUGUGCUAACAAGACGGAGAUUUUUGGACAUAAAUGAUGAGCUUUUUUGAACAAAACUACAUUCGUUAUGGACCUGUGAUACCUGGAAGUGACAUCUGAUGAAGAGAAUCAAAGCAUCAGUGGACACACCAGACUCUCCUUUAUCAGUCAUACAAAGAGAAUGUUCUAAUACCUCCCAUCGAAAAGAGAGCUGGCCCAAGCAAGCACAGGUUAAACCUGAAGCAUGAGGACUUGCAGCGAGUGGUAAACUUCAACAACUACGCAGAGGAUAAUGCAAUAGUAUUACCAGGAUGCCACCCAGGACACAAACACUUUGGUGGAAAGCUGCUGCCAUCCCAUGUGACAAAAGCAGCAGUAUGGUGUCUCUACAAGGAAUCAAUGACAACACUUGGCCACACCAAGUUUGCCCCGACUGGUGCAGGGCCUCAUCAAGCAGUGCUUCAGAAAGACCAGAGUGAAUACUUUGUCUGAGAUUGCUGGUGUUGUGAAGGACAGCACUGUGACAGGGGUAAACAUCCCAGUGGUGGUCCGCCUGUUAUCGAAACCUGGAGGUGGUCUUGAGAAGAGCGGCCUGGGCUCUCUUCCAGUUGCGGCGACAGCAACGGACGAACAUCUGGGCAGAAG